GACGUCUACCUGCAACGCGACGCCACUUCGGCUGCGCUCUUUCAGAGUAAAAGACUUUCGCUGCUCGUGACUCUCGUGAAAGGGUUAGAGAAAGAAGCUGGCGCCCUCUGCCGGCCGGCAGUCAGCCUGGCUGUGGUUAUCUGGAGCUGUCGCUGUAGUCAUGAUGCUACAGGACAAAGCGACACUUCUCACUCCACCUGGUCUGUCGUUCUGAUUGGCUGACUCCUUCCUGGAGGCAGCUCAUUGGCUGACAUGACGCUGCCAUCGGGGGUUCCCAAACUUUCCAACCUGUGACUCUAAAAUACAAACCAGUAUUCCACUUUGUUCAUUUAAAUGUUACUUUAAAUGAAAUUCUUUUAUGAAAAUGAUUAAAGGGUGUUAUUUAAUGAGAUAUUUAUGGAGCUAAAUUGGGGCCAUAAAGUUUGUUUUUGAACCUGAAGAAAACUAAAACUCAAAAAUAACCUUUAAUUUCAAAAGUAGUAUUUUUCCUGUAAGACCAGCAGGUGUUCAAAGGCGGCGCUAAAGGGUCGGGACGUUAAAGGGGCGGCGGCGCUGCAGCCGGGUCGGGGCGUUAAAGGGGCGGCGGCCGGGUCACCAGGUGAGAAAAGAGACGCAGGACGCAGCUUGUGUUGAACUUUAUUGAACAUCUGCAGUGAGUCUCUGCUGCAGCUCAAUCGGUUAAAUUAGCUGCAGUUUACAGCAAUAACUUACGCUUUACAGUGUUACUCGUUUCCAUGGCGACAGGACAGGAAGCAUCAGGUUCU